UACGAAGGGGGCUAGCGUUGUUCGGAAUCACUGGGCGUAAAGAGCGUGUAGGCGGCCAGGUAGGUCGGUUGUGAAAACUGGAGGCUCAACCUUCAGAGGUCGACCGAAACCAUCUGGCUAGAGUCCGGGAGAGGAGAGUGGAAUUCCUGGUGUAGCGGUGAAAUGCGCAGAUAUCGAGAGGAACACCUGCGGCGAAGGCGGGUUGCUGGGCUGACACUGACGCUGAGGCGCGAAAGCGUGGGGAGCGAACAGG
rnacentral:rRNA from 1 species